rnacentral:rRNA from 1 species
AGAGUUUGAUCAUGGCUCAGAAUCAACGCUGGCGGCGUGCCUAACACAUGCAAGUCGAACGCGAAAGCCCGCAAGGGUAAGUAGAGUGGCGCACGGGUGAGUAACACGUGGACAACCUGCCUUCGAGUGGGGAAUAACCUUCCGAAAGGAGGGCUAAUACCGCAUAACACCUCGGGACACAAGUUCUGGGGUUGAAAAGAGCAAUUUGCUCGAAGAGGGGUCCGCGCCUGAUUAGCUAGUUGGUGAGGUAACGGCUCACCAAGGCUUCGAUCAGUAGCCGUCCUGAGAGGGAGCACGGCCACACUGGAACUGAGACACGGUCCAGACUCCUACGGGAGGCAGCAGUGGGGAAUUUUUGGCAAUGGGCGAAAGCCUGACCAAGCAACGCCGCGUGGGUGAUGAAGUAUCUCGGUACGUAAAACCCUUUCGGCAGGGACGAAAAAAAUGACGGUACCUGCGAAGAGCC